rnacentral:rRNA from 1 species
GACGAACGCUGGCGGCGUGCUUAACACAUGCAAGUCGAACGGAAAGGCCCUGCCUUUGUGGGGUGCUCGAGUGGCGAACGGGUGAGUAACACGUGAGUAACCUGCCCUUGACUUUGGGAUAACUUCAGGAAACUGGGGCUACUACCGGAUAGGAGCUCCUGCUGCAUGGUGGGGGUUGGAAAGUUUCGGCGGUUGGGGAUGGACUGGCGGCUUAUCAGCUUGUUGGUGGGGUAGUGGCUUACCCAGGCUUUGACGGGUAGCCGGCCUGAGAGGGUGACCGGCCACAUGGGGACUGAGAUACGGCCCAGACUGCUACGGGAGGCAGCAGUGGGGAAUAUUGCACAAUGGGCGGAAGCCUGAUGCAGAAACGCCGCGUGCGGGAUGACGGCCUUUGGGGUGUAAACCGCUUUCGCCUGUGACGAAGCGGGAGUGACGGUAAUGGGUAAAGAAGCACCGGCUAACUACGUG